rnacentral:rRNA from 1 species
UACGGAAGGGGCAAGCGUUGUUCGGAAUCAUUGGGCGUAAAGGGCGCGUAGGUGGUUCUGUAUGUCUACCGUGAAAGCAUACAGCUCAACUGUAUUUUGUCGGUAGAAACUGCAGGACUGAGGCUGGGAGGGGCUGGUGGAAUUCCCUGUGUAGCGGUGAAAUGCGUAGAGAUGGGGGAGAACACUCGUGGCGAAGGCGGCCAGCUAGACCAGUUCUGACACUGAGGCGCGACAGCGUGGGGAGCAAACAGG